GCUACGGGGGGCAGCAGUAGGGAAUUUUCGGCAAUGGGGGGAACCCUGACCGAGCAACGCCGCGUGAACGAAGAAGUUAUUCGUAAUGUAAAGUUCUUUUAACAGGGAAGAAAGAGAAAUUUGACGGUACCUGAAGAAUAAGCUCCGGCUAACUACGUGCCAGCAGCCGCGGUAAUACGUAGGUGGCAAGCGUUAUCCGGAAUGACUGGGCGUAAAGGGUGCGUAGGUGGUUUAGUAAGUUGGCGGUGUAAUUCCGGGGCUCAACCUCGGCGCUACCGCCAAAACUAUUAGACUAGAGUGCAGGAGGGGUAAGUGGAAUUCCUAGUGUAGCGGUGGAAUGCGUAGAUAUUAGGAGGAACAUCAGGGGCGAAGGCGACUUACUGGACUGUAACUGACACUGAGGCACGAAAGCGUGGGGAGCAAACAGGAUUAGAUACCCGGGUAGAC
rnacentral:rRNA from 1 species